rnacentral:rRNA from 1 species
CCGUAAACGAUGAGUGCUAGGUGUUAGGGGUUUCGAUACCCUUAGUGCCGAAGUUAACACAUUAAGCACUCCGCCUGGGGAGUACGGCCGCAAGGCUGAAACUCAAAGGAAUUGACGGGGGCCCGCACAAGCAGUGGAGCAUGUGGUUUAAUUCGAAGCAACGCGAAGAACCUUACCAGGUCUUGACAUCCUCUGACACCUCUGGAGACAGAGCGUUCCCCUUCGGGGGACAGAGUGACAGGUGGUGCAUGGUUGUCGUCAGCUCGUGUCGUGAGAUGUUGGGUUAAGUCCCGCAACGAGCGCAACCCUUGAUCUUAGUUGCCAGCAUUCAGUUGGGCACUCUAAGGUGACUGC